UGUUGUCUACAUCUGAAUACAAAGAAAACUGUCUGUAUGUUGUUCUCCCGACAGCCAACUGCGGGACAGCAACCAUCAGUCAUGGUUGGUGGUGAGAGACUUGAGGUGGUUGAAUAUUUUAAGUACCUUGGGGUCAUCUUCGAUUCUAACCUUAAUUUUAAGCAGCAUGUUAAGAAAGUUAAAAACACAAUUAAAUUUAAUUUAUCAAAUUUCAAGCAUAUAAGACCUUUCCUGACUAUGGAGACAGCAAAGACUUAUAUGCAUGCAAUGAUAUUUACUCACAUCUCGUACUGUUACACAACAUGGUCACAUACAUCUGAGAGCACUUUAAAACCAAUCAAAUCUUUAUUCAAGAGAACGCUUAAAACACUAGACAAAAAAACCUAUAUACUACCAUUAUUGUAACAUUACAAAUAAACACAAAAUCAUGGACUUCGAUAGUUUUCAGCUGUUUUUGGAUGUCUGUCUAAUCUUUAAGGUUCUGAACGGUCUAGCCCCUCCACCAUUACAGAAUUUUAUAAAGAAGAAAUCCUCUACAAUAAAUACACGAGCACUAACUAGAGGUGACUGCGAAAUACAACGCCGCAAGACCAAAUUUGGUCAAAUGGUGGUGUCCAUCAGAGGAACACAGUCCUGGAAUAUAUUACCAACACAUGUUAGAGACUGUGCCACUUACACCACCUUUAAAAAAAACCUUAAACAGUGGUUAGUAGCAAGCCAGACCUGCUCUCAUAUGUAACCUUUGGUCAUUCUAAUUUUUUAACAUGGACUCUUGAUGUGGGGACCUAUUUUGUGUGUAAAAGUGUUUUUUUAAUCUAUUUUGUAUACUGGUAUGUUCAAUUAAGCUAACUCCGGCAUAUUUAUAUUGAUGCUCUGGCUGACAUAUUGAUUAAUGUGCACUGUCCUAAUCAAAUAAAUAAAUAAUAAUAACGGCUCCGUCAUCGACACACGCGCCCAGGUAAGAACACACACACACACACACACCGCGACUCGCCCAGGUUAGACGUUAUGUUUUUAAACAUCUUACUGCUAUAGAAUAGCAGGCCUUUCGCACAAGUGAAGGUGCGUCCACACCAAACGCGAAGGGGCGACAUGACUCCAUACAAAUUCAACGUAGAGACGCAAAUCGGGCAGAUUUUUUGCUAGAAAAAUCCUGCUACAAGAUUUGAUUUGUAGCACCCUGCACCGGCGAGCGCGUUCAUGAGGAUUUGCAAUGCGACACUUUGGCUGUUUCCCGAAGUGAAGGCUGCAGCCUUUCACUCGAGUUGAAAUAUUUGAACUUUGCCGCGACAUUCGUCUAAUGACAGCCAAUCAGCAUUCAACAGCGUGGCCACUGAGUGACAUAACGUAACAGCCAAUCAGCUUUCAACAGAGUGGCCACUGAGGGACGUAAAGUAACAGCCAAUCAGCAUUCAACAGCGUGGCCACUGAGGGACGUAACGUAACAGCCAAUCAGCGUUCAACAGCGUGGCCACUGAGGGACGUAACGUAACAGCCAAUCAGCGUUCAACAGCGUGGCCACUGAGGGACGUAACGUAACAGCCAAUCAGCAUUCAACAGCGUGGCCACUGAGUGACAUAACGUAACAGCCAA